GAAGCGGGGAUGACGUCAAGUCCUCAUGGCCCUUACAUCCCGGGCUACACACGUGCUACAAUGGCAGGUACAGAGGGCUGCGAAGCCGCGAGGUGGAGCGAAUCCCAGAAAACCUGUCUCAGUCCGGAUUGAAGUCUGCAACUCGACUUCAUGAAGGCGGAAUCGCUAGUGACCGCGAAUCAGCAGGUCGCGGUGAAUACGUUCCCGGGCCUU
rnacentral:rRNA from 1 species